rnacentral:rRNA from 1 species
UAAGGUUAAGUUAAUAAGGGCGCACGGUGGAUGCCUUGGCACUAGGAGCCGACGAAGGACGUGACAAACGACGAUAUGCCUUGGGUAGCUGUAAGUAAGCGAUGAUCCAGGGAUUUCCGAAUGGGGGAACCCAACAGGUAAUACCUGUUACCCACAUCUGUUAAGGAUGUGAGGAGGAAGACGCAGUGAACUGAAACAUCUAAGUAGCUGCAGGAAGAGAAAGCAAAAGCGAUUGCCUUAGUAGCGGCGAGCGAAACGGCAGGAGGGCAAACCGAAGAGUUUACUCUUCGGGGUUGUAGGACUGCAAUGUGGACUCAAAGAUUAUAGAAGAAUGAUUUGGGAAGAUCAGCCAAAGAGAGUAAUAGCCUCGUAUUUAAAAUAGUCUUUGUACUUAGCAGUAUCCUGAGUACGGCGGGACACGUGAAAUCCCGUCGGAAUCCGGGAGGACCAUCUCCCAACCCUAAAUACUCCCUAGUGACCGAUAGUGAACCAGUACCGUGAGGGAAAGGUGAAAAGCACCCCGGGAGGGGAGUGAAAUAGAACCUGAAACCGUGUGCCUACAACAAGUUCGAGCCCGUUAAUGGGUGAGAGCGUGCCUUUUGUAGAAUGAACCGGCGAGUUACGUUAUGAUGCGAGGUUAAGUUGAAGAGACGGAGCCGUAGGGAAACCGAGUCUGAAUAGGGCGCCUUAGUAUCAUGACGUAGACCCGAAACCAUGUGACCUACCCAUGAGCAGGUUGAAGGUGCGGUAAGACGCACUGGAGGACCGAACCAGGGCACGUUGAAAAGUGCUUGGAUGACUUGUGGGUAGCGGAGAAAUUCCAAACGAACUUGGAGAUAGCUGGUUCUCUCCGAAAUAGCUUUAGGGCUAGCGUCGACAUUAGAGAUUCUUGGAGGUAGAGCACUGUUUGGGUGAGGGGUCCAUCCCGGAUUACCAAUCUCAGAUAAACUCCGAAUGCCAAUGAAUUAUGGUCGGCAGUCAGACUGCGAGUGCUAAGAUCCGUAGUCGAAAGGGAAACAGCCCAGACCACCAGCUAAGGUCCCAAAAUAAUUGUUAAGUGGAAAAGGAUGUGGGGUUGCACAGACAACUAGGAUGUUAGCUUAGAAGCAGCUAUUCAUUCAAAGAGUGCGUAAUAGCUCACUAGUCGAGUGACCCUGCGCCGAAAAUGUACCGGGGCUAAAACAAUUUACCGAAGCUGUGGAUACCUUUAUAGGUAUGGUAGGAGAGCGUUCUAUGUGUGAUGAAGGUGUACCGUGAGGAGUGCUGGAACGCAUAGAAGUGAGAAUGCCGGUAUGAGUAGCGAAAGACAGGUGAGAAUCCUGUCCACCGUAAGACUAAGGUUUCCAGGGGAAGGCUCGUCCGCCCUGGGUUAGUCGGGACCUAAGGAGAGACCGAAAGGUGUAUCCGAUGGACAACAGGUUGAUAUUCCUGUACUAGAGUAUGUAGUGAUGGAGGGACGCAGUAGGCUAACUAAAGCAGACGAUUGGAAGAGUCUGUCUAAGCAGUGAGGUGUGAAUUGAGUCAAAUGCUUAAUUCUAUAACAUUGAGCUGUGAUGGGGAGCGAAGUUUAGUAGCGAAGUUAGUGACGUCACACUGCCAAGAAAAGCUUCUAGCGUUUAAACAUACUCUACCCGUACCGCAAACCGACACAGGUAGUCGAGGCGAGUAGCCUCAGGUGAGCGAGAGAACUCUCGUUAAGGAACUCGGCAAAAUGACCCCGUAACUUCGGGAGAAGGGGUGCUGACUUUAAGUCAGCCGCAGUGAAUAGGCCCAAGCAACUGUUUAUCAAAAACACAGCUCUCUGCUAAAUCGUAAGAUGAUGUAUAGGGGGUGACGCCUGCCCGGUGCUGGAAGGUUAAGAGGAGUGCUUAGCGUAAGCGAAGGUAUGAAUUGAAGCCCC